GUGCGAUCUCAAUGCCUCAUCUUUAUGGUGCAAUCCUACUCUGCUCUCGCCUUGCUUGCUCUUUGUAGCUUCGUCUUCGCCAUUUUAACCCCCUUCAUCCAUCGGAUCUCGAAGAAAACUUAUGUCGCAAGAGAUAAUCAUUGAUGAAAUCUUGGUGCCCUUUGAUGAACUUCGCAGUUAAUUGGUACUCAUAUUGUUGCUUCUGGUUCAAGAACUGGAUUUGAAGCAUAGCGGUCAAAUCGAAAGCUUGUAGAUAGAAGGUUGGGAGGAGUUUUCACUAGUCGAACUGUUAUAAUCUGCAAGAGAAGAAUAUGCGUUUAAGGCCAUCAAGGCAUCCGGGAUUACGUCAAUUGGAGUACGUGGAAAGGAUUGGGUGUGCGUUGUCACCCAGAAGAAGGUUCAUCUGAUACGAGAUCUUUGGUCCAACAAGCAAGGAAUGAAGCGACAGAAUUUCAUUUCAAAUGGGGAUAUGAGAUGCCUGUAGAUAUAUUGUCCAAAUGGUACAAACAUGUGGCAAAAGGCGAUUCACUCGCCCCCAGCGCCCCCGCCAACCCGUCCCUAGGCCAACAUGCUCUUCCUACUUGUAGACUUCUGAUACGAGAUCCUUGGUCCAACAAGCAAGGAAUGAAGCGGUAGAAUUUCAUUUCAAAUGGGGAUAUGAGAUGCCUGUAGAUGUAUUGUCCAAAUGGUACAAACAUUGUGGCAUAAGGUGAAUACUCUCGCCCCCAGCGCCCCCGCCAAAUGUUGCAAUGAUCUUGGGUAUCAAUGAGGAGAAGGGACCCCAGCUCUACAAAUACAAUCCAGCUGGCCAUUUCUUUAUGCACAAGGCAACAAGUGCUGGCCUGAAAGAACAAGAAGCAAUCAACUUUUGGAAAAGAAAAUGAAGAAUAAUCCUGUAUUCUCAUAUGAGGAAACAGUACAGGUA